CUUCCCGGUGUUCCCACAUACGAAACCCUAAAACCCCCCAAUCCCAACCUUAUCUCCAUCUCCCCCCCCCUCCUCUGCUCCAAUGGCGACCAUGAGCUCCUCCUCCCUCAAGGCCCAAAUAUUCUCCUUUACGAAUCCUAGAAUGGCCCCACGCCACACCCUCGUCCCCGCCCUCCACCCUAACUCCUUUCUUCCCCCUCUCUUGUCCCGCCACCGGCCAGCCUUCCGGUCGGGGCUGGCCCGGGCGAUGGCGGCGGACAGAGAGUACUCCUCGAGGAGGAGCAGCAACAGCGAGCCGAGAGAGACGAUCCUGCUGCCUGGAUGCGACUACAACCACUGGCUUAUCGUCAUGGAGUUUCCCAAGGACCCCACCCCCACCCAGGAGCAGAUGAUCGAGACCUACCUCAACACCCUCGCCACCGUUCUCCGAAGGUAAAGGGAUUUAAGAUUUAAAAAGAUCGAAUCUUUGUGGAACAGGGAUCCUCUUUCUGAAGAUUUUUCAAGAUUUCUAAUGUCCGGCAACUUGAUACAUGGUGAGAUCAAAAGCUGGCAAAAAGAAUAGGAAAAAGCUUGAGUACAAUCAUUGUUCAGGAUUUUGGUCAUUUGUUGCAACAAUGACUAUACCAAUAAUAUGUUUUUGAGUAUGUACUGGCUAUAUUUUUAGUGAACUGCAUGUGAAACAGUCUAUGGGAUAGUUUUGGCUAUUGUAAAAUAGACAAUUUGCUGCAAGUAGAUUUUUUAUUCUAGUUUGCUACAAGUAUAUUUUUGGAAUUUUUUUAUGCAAGUAGAUUUGACAGUUAUUCUAGUUUUCUUAUUAUGUAGUGGCUAUAUGCUAAUCUAAAUUACACUUUGCAGCCAGAGUUUAAUGGUUGUGAAAACCUAGAAUUUCCAGAAUUCUAUAAGCAAACUCAUACCAAGAAGAACAAAGAGUGGAUUGAUCCUAUUUGUGCCGUGAAACAUAGUUCUUAAAGAAAAGAGCGAGAGAUGGAGCGUGAGGAGCUGCGGAGGCAAUUGAAGCAGGAGAGAAGAGAGCGUGAGGAGGAAAGAGAAGAGUGAGAGGAAGAACAGAAGCAAAUUGCACAUCUUACAAGUUUGGUGAUAGAGUUCUUAAAAGAAAAGACUCAAACGCACAAGUCAUCUAUCCAUCAUGAUGGGGCCAUGUAUUUAACUGGUGGUACAAAUACUCGUUGAUACAUGGUGGAGUUAUGAGCAUGUGAAAUCUAGUUUUUGGUACAUGGAUAGCUUUUGUUCAGAUGAUCAUGGUGGAGUUGUUUACAAGCAGAAUCAAGUUUUUGGUAUAAGAAUAUUUUUGUCUACAUGAUGGUGGUUUGGAUGAAUAGCAAGAUCAGAUAUUUUGGAAUUUUUAAUUUACAUUUUGAUGUGUUUGGUGAUGAUUAUCACCUUAACAUAUGGUAUGGAUGAAACAUUGUGAUGUAUGGUUAAUAGGUAUGCUUGACUUUAGACUUAUGAAUAAUGAUUUAUAAUGAAUGAUUAUGGAUUCUCCAA